rnacentral:lncRNA from 1 species
CUCUCCAUUAUCUAAUAUACACUGCACACACUAAAAAUGGGGGCUCUACUUUGCAAAACUCUCUAUUUGCCACGUAUAUAUUCAUAUUAAUAGAAUUAUUUAUAGAGCUCUUUCUAUCCGAUAAUAAGUAAGGCUUUUAUUUAAUACACUUUUUUAUCAAAACAUAACGAUAUAAUAUAAAUAAAAUUAUUCAUUAGUACC